GAUGAAGAACGCAGCGAAACGCGAAAGGGAAUGCGAAUUGCAGAAUCAGUGAGUCAUCGAAUCUUUGAACGCACAUUGCGCCCCUUGGUAUUCCGGGGGGCACGCCUGUUCGAGCGCCAUUACACACCCCAAGCUAAGCUUGAUGUUGGGCGAUGUCUGUCACAGGACACGCCUGGAACGUAUGGGCGCCGCCGCCGGAUCACGAGUGUAGCAAGACGCAAGUCAUCGCUCGGUCGGUCCUGGCGGUUGGCCGCCGCGGCUCAUGGUAACACAUGGGCCAGUAACUUUUCACAAGUUUGGCCUCGAAUCAGGCGGGGAUACCCGCUGAACUUAAGCAUAUCAUAAGCGGAGGA
rnacentral:misc_RNA from 1 species